rnacentral:lncRNA from 1 species
AUGAAGCUAUGGACGUUUCAUCAUCUGGGUAACCUAGGACUUUAUUUAUUCCAAUAUUGCGAAUUUGGCUUGGAAAUGUUCCCUUUGGCAAGAAAGUGGAAGAAAAAUUCAGAAGAUAUUGCAGGGGACAGGUAUCCAAAGUCCCAAAGAAUGGAGAUGAGUGACCCUGCCACAUUACUGUGCUGGCUGCUCCUUAUGCAUCCUGGACAAAAGGGCCUAUUUUUAAAUGGCAUCUUUUAAAUAUUUGAGACACUCCUUUAUGACAGUGCCUUGAUUAAAAACUCACAAGAUACAAGCAUAC